CCAUGACUUUAGAUAACCUGCAUU
rnacentral:piRNA from 1 species